rnacentral:rRNA from 1 species
GACGAAGGAUGCAAGCGUUAUCCGGAUUCAUUGGGUCUAAAGGGUGCGUAGGCGGACUGAUAAGUCAGUGGUGAAAUCUCUCAGCUUAACUGAGAAACUGCCAUUGAUACUGUCAGUCUAGAGUACAGAUGAUGUGGGCGGAAUAUGACAUGUAGUGGUGAAGUACUUAGAUAUGUCAUAGAACACCGAUUGCGAAGGCAGCUCACAAAACUGUAACUGACGCUGAGGCACGAAGGUGCGGGGAUCAAACAGG